rnacentral:rRNA from 1 species
GGUAAGUACGUGUCGGCGGAGUGGAGAAAGCGGAGGGGGCAAGCGGUAGGCGGGUUUACUGGGGGUAAAGCGAACGCGUGCGGUUAUGUAAGGCGGACGGGAAAGCUCCGAGCGCAAGUGGGAGAGGUCGGUCGAAACGGCAUAGCUUGAGGGUGGAAGAGGGGAGCGGAACUCCCGGUGUAAUGGUGGAAUGCGUAGAUAUCGGGAAGAACACCAGUGGCGAAGGCGGCUCUCUGGUCCAAAUCUGACGCUCAUGUGCGAAAGCGUGGGUAGCGAACGGGAUUAGAUACCCGAGUAGUC